ACGCUGGCGGCGUGCCUAAUACAUGCAAGUAGAACGCUGAAGAGAGGAGCUUGCUCUUCUUGAAUGAGUUGCGAACGGGUGAGUAACGCGUAGGUAACCUGCCUUGUAGCGGGGGAUAACUAUUGGAAACGAUAGCUAAUACCGCAUAACAAUGGGUGACACAUGUCAUUUAUUUGAAAGGGGCAAUUGCUCCACUACAAGAUGGACCUGCGUUGUAUUAGCUAGUAGGUGAGGUAACGGCUCACCUAGGCGACGAUACAUAGCCGACCUGAGAGGGUGAUCGGCCACACUGGGACUGAGACACGGCCCAGACUCCUACGGGAGGCAGCAGUAGGGAAUCUUCGGCAAUGGGGGCAACCCUGACCGAGCAACGCCGCGUGAGUGAAGAAGGUUUUCGGAUCGUAAAGCUCUGUUGUAAGUCAAGAACGAGUGUGAGAGUGGAAAGUUCACACUGUGACGGUAGCUUACCAGAAAGGGACGGCUAACUACGUGCCAGCAGCCGCGGUAAUACGUAGGUCCCGAGCGUUGUCCGGAUUUAUUGGGCGUAAAGCGAGCGCAGGCGGUUUGAUAAGUCUGAAGUUAAAGGCUGUGGCUCAACCAUGGUUCGCUUUGGAAACUGUCAAACUUGAGUGCAGAAGGGGAGAGUGGAAUUCCAUGUGUAGCGGUGAGAUGCGUAGAUAUAUGGAGGAACACCGGUGGCGAAAGCGGCUCUCUGGUCUGUAACUGACGCUGAGGCUCGAAAGCGUGGGGAGCGAACAGGAUUAGAUACCCUGGUAGUCCACGCCGUAAACGAUGAGUGCUAGGUGUUGGAUCCUUUCCGGGAUUCAGUGCCGCAGCUAACGCAUUAAGCACUCCGCCUGGGGAGUACGACCGCAAGGUUGAAACUCAAAGGAAUUGACGGGGGCCCGCAC
rnacentral:rRNA from 1 species